CAGCUUAGCUACAUCCUCAACUCUUAUUUGUUAUUUAUUCAUAUCAUGGUCUCAUGUAGCCCAGGCUGGCCUAAUAUUCUUCUAGAGAGGAUGUUGUUGAACCCCUGGUCUUCUUGCUUCCACCUCCAAAUGCUGGGGUUGCAGUUGUGUGCUCACACCCAACUCUUCUUUAGCAAGAGGCAGGCUGCUCAUCACUUGGGCUGGGCCAAGAGUCCUCUGAGGUCUCUAUGGAGCAGGGCAGAAGACUGGCCAUCUCUUUGAGCUGUGUCAGACUAGUUCAGGACUUUAUGCCAGCAGGUUGGUUUAUGGAUCAGUUCUGCCUAAGAGCUCGGUGCCAGCAGCGUGUGAGUGGGAACCUGGAUUGCUCAGAUCCAUGGUUAAAGGCAGGAAACCCUGGAGGAGAGGCAUCAUUUCCACCCCAGGAUCUCUGUUACCAGGCAGAAUUGAGCAAACCCCAGGCUCCGCUGGCUGACAUCACAGAACGGAACCCUUCACAGCCAGCUACCUAUAUCGUUCCUUGACAGCUAAAGGUCCACCCUUGGCCCCGAAGAUGGCUUUGCAGAGAAGGUGCCUCGGUGACUGAAGUGACAUGAGGCUUCCAACCCACAGGUCUAGUCCUCCCUCCCCUCCUGGCCCUUUCCAGCUCUCUGCUUUACAGGGAUUUGGUCUCUGUGCCCCCGCCCCCGCAGCUUAUGGAGAGGAAGCAGUGGAAAGGACAAGGCCAAUGAGAGUUUUCUCCUAGGAGACCCGGCUGGAGAAGAACCCGAGAUGGUCCAGCAGCUAAAGGCUGCAGCAAGAGGGAGGAAUUUGAGGAUCGGGACUACAGGUCUUGGCCCAGGCUAAGGAAGAAUUUCUGUAGCCCACCUCUCUCCCUUGACUUCUGUCUUAGGAUCAGCAGUAAGUGAGGGAGCUCCCAGGGCUUGCUGUCACCUCCACGCUGGGCUCCCUGGAGUCCCCAGUUUCUUCUAGCUGUGGCUCUGGCUCUGGCUUAGCAGGCUGCAUUGUUGCUCUCAAGGCCUGCUUGGGAUGGGCACUCAAUUUGCCUGUGGGAGACUGAGGGAGACAGACCUGCUUGGUGACUCGCUUCCCCCAGAACCCCCAAGCUAGUGUUGCCAGACCAUGGUCCAGCCCAGAUGGUAAAGCCCUCAGCAAAUACAAUACAGGAUGCCCAGUGUUGGUUAAUACUGUCACCUUGACGAUCUAGAAUCACCUAGGAGACACAACUCCUGGUAUACUGCUGAAGAAAUUCCUACGUUGGGUAAAUUGAGGAAGACCCAUCCUAGAUAUGGCUGCCACCAUUCCAGGGGCUUCUGGGGUCCUAGUCAGAAUGAAAAACAGAAAGAGAACUGAGCACUGGCGUUCAUCUGGCCCUGCAGCGUGAAUGCAAAGGCCGUGACCAGACUCCUUAGACUCCUGUUGCCAUGACUUCCCCACCGCGUUGGACCACAUCCUCAAGCUGUGAGUCAAGAUGACCCUUCCUUAUUUGAGCCGUUUUUUUGUUAGGUGUCUUGUCACACGAGGAGAAAAGUGAUCAAUACAUACAACUUUCAGUUUUUUGGAAAGUUUAUUGCCACUGUGCAUCUGUGCAUGGUCUUCAUUUGGAGGUCAGAAGAUGGCUCUCAGGAGCCAGUUCUUCUACCUUUGAUGUCAAGGAACAAGCCUGGGUUGUUAGCCUUAUCUAACAAAGGUUUGUACCUACAGUCAUCUCAGGAUUCCACGGCCAGGCCAUCUGCAGGGUGUAAAUCCAAUUACAACCCCAAAGUUGUGGCCAGUCUUAAAUUGCAAUAUUUAGAUGCACUACGAGUCUGCAGCAUGAUGGUGUAGGCAAAGGAGAGGACCCAGUGCAUAGUGCUUGCUGUGUGAGCACGGGGACCUGAGUUCAGACCCCGCCCACACCUUAAGGUUAGAUGUGAUGCCCUGUAUCUGCAGCCCUAGAACCAGGGAAGGGGUGAGAGGCGGAUGGGGUCUUGUUGGCCAGUCUAGCUGAGAUGGUAUAGAGAAAAUGUAACGGCUUAGAUUUCACCAGAGGAUGAGCUGGAAUACUCACAUCUGCACACACCAGUCUUAGCAAUCACAUCUUUGGUCUGCUGCUCAGGGGUGAUUACAGCCCAGCUGCUGGGCAGCAUCUUGGAGGGGCUGUUAUACCCGAGCCACAGGCUCCUACGCUGGAUGGAGCUUUUGGAAAAGAGGAACAGGGCUGGAGUGUGGCCAAUUUCAUAUACCUUCCCUGGGAAAGAGGACUUAGCAGCCCGACCAGAUCCAAGUCUUCCCUCCUGGGAUAGGGAGGCUUGGGCCUUCAUUCCAAGAAGCCCAAGCUCAGAGGAACAGGGAUCAGUCAGUCAUUAGAGGAAAGUCAGGCUGGAGGAGGAGCAGCCCUGGCAUUCAGGACUCACACCAGCAGCUCUGUCUUUUUGAGCAAAUAGAAAGAACACAGUUUACAAACAGGUAAAAACUAUUGAAAAGUUUAUUUACAUUAAAUCUUUCCCUUUGGGUUGCACAUUAGUUCCACAAAGGCAGACAGGUUUGCAGUAAUGGCAGCAAUCAGCAGGGUCCAGCAGAACUAGCAAGGACAAAUUCUUCAGGUGUGCUCCACCCAAAACCAUCCUGGUGUAAGUGUGCUUGCUUACAGUUCUCAUUCCCCACAGCUUCUCCUCCCA